rnacentral:lncRNA from 1 species
UACACCUAGACAGGAUUUGUUUGCGUCAUCUUCAGACUGGGUAGAGCAAGUGCCUUUUGGGCAAGACCCUCAAGAGCUCCUUGCCAACCUCCUCCUAGAAGAGCAAAGACAAGGUGCUAGUGGGAGGAUUACUGCAUGGCUUGAGGGAGGGUCUGCCCGCUCCCCACACCGUGGCUGGAGAGUAGGAAGUGAGAGGGCCCAGAACAGGGACCCGAAGGAGACUUUUGGGAAGGUUCUGUUUUACCCUUUUCUCACAGAUGACCUGAGAUGUGAUUGACAGGGUGAUUUCCUGGGUCUCACUUUUGAAGUUCUAGAUGGGCAGAGCAGAGCAUGAAUCUCUUUCAAAGGCAGCAUGGAAGGACUGAAUGCCUCCUCCAACUCCAGGCAUUUGACAACCCCUACCCCGAAUGGGAGAAAAUACUUCAGGGUGAGAAAUCUUUCAACAACUAGUUAAGAUAUUUGAAUGUUGUAUUAGUCUGUUUUCAUGCUGCUGAAAAAGACAUACCCGAGACUGGGCAAUUUACAAAAGAAAGAGGUUUAAUUGGACUCACAGUUCAACAUGGCUGGGGAAGCCUCACAAUAAUGAUGGAAGGCAAGGAGGAGCAAGUCACAUCUUACAUGGAUGGCGGCAGGCAAAGAGAGAGCUUGUACAGGGAAACUCCCAUUUUUAAAACCAUCAGCUCUCGUGAGAUUUAUUCACUAUCACAAGAACAGCAUGGGAAAGACCUGCACCCAUGAUCCAAUUAUCUUCCACCGGGACUGUGCCACAGUACAUGGGAAUUAUGGGAGCUACAAGAUGAGAUUUGGAUGGGGACACAGAGCCAAUCCAUAUCAAAUAUCAAGUCAUUUUUUUUUUUUUUUGAAAUGGAUUCUCACUUUGUUGCCAGGCUAGAGUGUGACGGCGCAGCCUCAGCUCACUACAACCUCCGCCUCCCAGGUUCAAGUGAUUCUCCUGCCUCAGCCUCCUGAGUAGCCUUCAGAAUUGCAAUAGGAAAAACCUGGUAAACCUCCAGAAUGCCUGCCCAUAGGGACCUGCAAAGCUAAGCAAUGUCCACCUGAACAGUGGAGCACCACAUGACCAGUAGAGAAAAUUAAGUAACUCAGUGUUUACCAUGGGAAAUAUGGAAGACAUAUUAUUCUUCAGUGAAACCAAAGCUCACAGACCAGCAUGUCUGGGAUGAUCCAAUUUAGGUAAACAAAUAAAUUUCUUCAAAAGGCUGUAAUACAUGUGUCUGGGCCAAAUGCCGAUGGACCAGUUCUGAAUGGAAGUUGAUCAACCCACCAUGGUGUUGACAGGAAUUAGUUCCAGGGAAUAAAAAUCAUGGGGAGAUGGGGAGUUUACCAGGGUGAAUAUUUUUCACUUCCCAGUUGUAAAUGUAUGCCCAUCCAGAUUUUUUUGAAGUUUUAUUCACCACAAGUUCUAUGAUGGUUAAUUUUACAUGUCGACUUGACUGGAUGGCAGGAGAACUGGAUGGCGGAUAGAGCACUGUUUCUGGGUGUUUGUGAGGUGUUUCCAGGGGAGAAUAGCAUGUGAGUCUGAGGACUGAGGGAGGAAGACCUGUCUUCAAUGUGGGGGCCACCAUCCAAUCAGCUGGGGCCUGGCUGAGACAAAGCAGGUAGAGGGGCUGGGCUUGGAAAACGUUUUCCCCACUGUCAAUUACUGAGUGACUAUGAAACCCACCCAAUUUAUGAUGAAACAAGGGAUUGCUGUCUCUGCUCAUUAAAGCUACAAUAAUAGAAUCAUUUAUGUCCCCUCCUUCCCCAGCAUUCCCUGUGGCUAUUCCCCCAUGCCCCAACCUCUGCUCAUUCCUGAUGCUGAGUCUUUGCUUAGGCAGAUCGUCUUCCUAGGAUGUCGUUCCUGCCCCUGGCCGGGGGAGCCCAGCCAGAAGCAAAAUAAUCCCAUCACUUUGGGAAGCUGAGGGGAGAAGAUUGUGAGACCAGUAGUUCAAGACCAGCCUGGGCAAUAUAGUGAGACCUUGUCUUUACAAAAAAAUAAAUUAGCCUGGCAUGGUGGUGCACGACUAUAGUCGCAGCUACUCAGGAAGCUGAGGUGGGAGGAUGGCUUGAGCCUGGGAAGUCGAGGCUGCAGUGAGCUCUGAUCAUGCCACUGCACUCCAGCCUGGGGAACAGACUAAGACCCCAUCUCAAAAAAAAGCAUGUAGAGGAGGGGGGUUCACUCUCUCUGCUUCCUUUCUCCCUUUUGGAGCAGGAUGCUUUUCUCCUCCUGCCUUUAGACAUCAGACUCCAGGUUCUUUGGCUUCCUGAGUGAGGAAGG